AUUUUGUUGUUUGAUGGAUCAAGACAUAGGUGCACACUUUAGGUCAAAGAAUACCUAAUGAAAACACACGGGUUAGAUGGAGGAGCAAGUUUGUGAGGAGAGUAAGAACGGAGCCAAGGAUAACACAAACACCCAAAGACCCGAAGUUUGGAAUAAUUAGGCAGGGAUUGAAAGAGAAUGGCAUAGGGGGACUGAAGGCGAAGGGUAGGUGUAGGUAAUCGAUCGAUCAGAUAAACUGUAGUAGCAAAGGCAAAAGACCAAUACGUGAGUGGCAUAGAGGCAAGAGAGAGAAGAGAAAGACCCGUUUCAACAAUAUGACGAUGAUGACGUUCUGCAUACCCAUUGUGUUCUGGAGUGUGAGGUGGAGAGGUUAGAUGAGAAAUGCCAUGCGCCGUCCAAAACUAAGAUAGUGCUUGGUAUUCCCCCAUUGUUAGAGCAAAGUGUGAUAAUAUGUUGAUUAAAUUUUUUUUACUCAAGUGCUU
rnacentral:lncRNA from 1 species